rnacentral:rRNA from 1 species
UACGUAGGGACCGAGCGUUGUCCGGAUUCAUUGGGCGUAAAGAGCUCGUAGGCGGCUGCUCAAGUCGAAUGUGAAAACUCGAGGCUCAACCUCGAGCCUGCAUUCGAUACUGGGCGACUAGAGUGCGGAAGGGGCAACUGGAAUUCUCGGUGUAGCGGUGAAAUGCGUAGAUAUCGAGAGGAACACCUGCGGCGAAGGCGGGUUGCUGGGCCGACACUGACGCUGAUGCGCGAAAGCCAGGGGAGCGAACGGG